rnacentral:rRNA from 1 species
AUGGCGAGCGGUGUCCACAGAUUGUACAGCGACCAAGCGGCGGUGAAGAAUCAAUGUGUGGAUCUAUCAUUACCAUACGGAAUAGGUAUUCAAAGUUAUUCCUCUGUGAUCGCAAACUUCUACACGACUCAUCACCAUCAUGUCCAUGCCCCAGACUUGGGUGAGUGCUCAAGGAAGAAUUUUGUAGUUCCACUGUUGAUUCCAAGCAGGCAAUUCAUGAUCAGCCUUGUGCAAGCCAUGUAUGGGGCUGAUCCUGAUGGCGUCGUCCACAUCUUUCGCGCCUGGUCCAGCUGCGCCAUAUCAAGGUCUCCUCCCCUGCCCCUGUUCUCAAUCCCCGAUGUGUUUCGAUUUGAGCUGAUCAGCCCAAAGUCUAUGGUUAAUGCCAUUCUUGGUAACAUUGGUCUGCCUGAUGCAAAACACACAAGGACUACAAGAACUACAAUGGACGUGACAGCCGAGACAAGCAUUGUAAGGAUCCCAGUUAGAAUGAUGCUUGAUCUCCUGGUAGAGCAUCUUGGGCUUCACAAGGCCAUCUGA